GAGUUUGAUCGUGGCUCAGAUUGAACGCUGGCGGCAUGCCUUACACAUGCAAGUCGAACGGCAGCACGGGAGCAAUCCUGGUGGCGAGUGGCGAACGGGUGAGUAAUACAUCGGAACGUGCCCAAUCGUGGGGGAUAACGCAGCGAAAGCUGUGCUAAUACCGCAUACGAUCUACGGAUGAAAGCAGGGGACCGCAAGGCCUUGCGCGAAUGGAGCGGCCGAUGGCAGAUUAGGUAGUUGGUGGGGUAAAGGCUCACCAAGCCAACGAUCUGUAGCUGGUCUGAGAGGACGACCAGCCACACUGGGACUGAGACACGGCCCAGACUCCUACGGGAGGCAGCAGUGGGGAAUUUUGGACAAUGGGCGCAAGCCUGAUCCAGCCAUGCCGCGUGCAGGAUG
rnacentral:rRNA from 1 species